UUUAAUAGUAUUUAUCCAAGCCAGUUUGUGAUUUCUUCACUCUCUCCAACAAAUAUGUUAUUUGUAAUAGCUAUCUUCUCUCAUCUAGGUGUUUGAAAAAUGUCUCUAACGUGUGUGGGCUGGAAUGCAUUUUGUUUUUUCUGCAGGUAUAUUCAUUUAACAAGGGGAGUCUCUGAGGAGCUAUCAAAAACUGCUUGCCAUCUUUCCAAAUCAUCUCUGUCUGCAGUGACCAUGUCUUAAUCCUGAAGGAAAACAAGGACAAACCUCUUUUGGCAGUUGGGCCUGAAGCCCCAGAACUUAUGCUGGUCCUGGCACCAAUGAGGACAGAAAUGAUUGAGCACAUGAAUUUGGUGGAAAUUGAUUUUUACUUCUCUGCAGCUAAGUAUGUGGCAGUCUUGGCCACAUGGUGACUCAGCAGAGGAGCCUAUGUACUGGCUGUCCUGAUGCUCUUCCUGAUUCAACUGAUUCUCUACACUUGAUCUUAGCCAAAAGGCCGAGAAGCAAUGAUUCAACUGAUUCUCAAAAGGACACCGCUGCAGGAAUAAACCCACUUCUAAAUAUGGUACACUUGGAAAGUUGUCCAGCUCGCAAUGUCAGAGUCACAGACUUCAUGCACACUCAUCUCAAGUCAAUGUUAUCUAACACAUUUCCACUAAUUAUUGGAUGACACUAGCAAGAAACUCUGAUAUUUUUCACCUAACCUUUGCUAAUUUAAAUGUGGCCAGCCCACCCUCAUACUGCAUUGUGAUGGGGAUAUAAAAGCCAAUGAAAGAUAUCA
rnacentral:lncRNA from 1 species